CAAGCAGGUCUCUUAUCGCUGCUCGCCUUGCGCGAGGAGAGGAAAGUCCGGACACCACAGGGCAGUAUAGCGGGUAACACCCGUCAUUCGUUUCGGCGAAUAGGACAAGUGCAGCAGAAAGUAUGUACAGGUAAUGCUGUAGUGAAACCAGGUAAACUCUAUACGGUGCAACGCCAAGUAAAUCUGUGUUUGAGAACGGCUCGUUCGAAACAGAAGGGUAGGCGGUUCGAGUUCAUGAGUAAUUGUGAACCUAGAUAAAUGAUAAGACACGACAGAAUCCGGCUUAUGGCCUGCUUUUUUU
rnacentral:RNase_P_RNA from 1 species